rnacentral:rRNA from 1 species
AAUCUUCCACAAUGGACGGAAGUCUGAUGGAGCAACGCCGCGUGAGCGAAGAAGGUUUUCGGAUCGUAAAGCUCUGUUGUAAGGGAAGAACACGUACGGGAGUCACUGCCCGUACCUUGAAGGUACCUGAUCAGAAAGCCACGGGUACCUACGUGCCAGCAACCGCGGUAAUACGUAGGUGGCAAGCGUUGUCCGGAAUUAAUGGGCGUAAAGCGCGCGCAGGCGGUCCUUUAAGUCUGAUGUGAAAGCCCACGGCUCAACCGUGGAGGGUCAUUGGAAACUGGAGGACUUGAGUACAGAAGAGGAAAGCGGAAUUCCACGUGUAGCUGUGAAAUGCGUAGAGAUGUGGAGGAACACCAGUUGCGAAGGCGGCUUUCUGGUCUGUAACUGACGCUGAGGCGCGAAAGCGUGGGGAGCAAACAG